rnacentral:rRNA from 1 species
GUGAACGCUGGCGGUAGGCCUAACACAUGCAAGUCGAACGGCAGCACAGUAAGAGCUUGCUCUUACGGGUGGCGAGUGGCGGACGGGUGAGGAGUACAUCGGAAUCUACUUUUUCGUGGGGGAUAACGUAGGGAAACUUACGCUAAUACCGCAUACGACCUACGGGUGAAAGCAGGGGAUCUUCGGACCUUGCGCGAUUGAAUGAGCCGAUGUCGGAUUAGCUAGUUGGCGGGGUAAAGGCCCACCAAGGCGACGAUCCGUAGCUGGUCUGAGAGGAUGAUCAGCCACACUGGAACUGAGACACGGUCCAGACUCCUACGGGAGGCAGCAGUGGGGAAUAUUGGACAAUGGGCGCAAGCCUGAUCCAGCCAUACCGCGUGGGUGAAGAAGGCCUUCGGGUUGUAAAGCCCUUUUGUUGGGAAAGAAAAGCAGCAGGUUAAUACCCCGCUGUUCUGACGGUACCCAAAGAAUAAGCACCGGCUAACUUCGUG